rnacentral:rRNA from 1 species
UACGUAGGGCGCAAGCGUUGUCCGGAAUUAUUGGGCGUAAAGAGCUCGUAGGCGGUCUGUCGCGUCCGUUGUGAAAACUCGAGGCUCAACCUCGGGCUUGCAGUAGAUACGGGCAGACUAGAGUGCGGUAGGGGAGACUGGAAUUCCGUGGUGUAGCGGUGGAAUGCGCAGAUAUCAGGAGGAACACCGAUGGCGAAGGCAGGUCUCUGGGCCGCAACUGACGCUGAGGAGCGAAAGCAUGGGGAGCGAACAGG